CCCCCCCAGACCCGCCGCAUACCGGGCGCCCGCCCUGUCCCUCGCCAGCGCACUUCCGCACCGCGGGUUUAUUGAAUAUUCAGGCGCAUCCAUCAUCAUCCCAUGCCCGACACCUCCUCCAGCUCCAGGGCCAGCGCUCAGGACAAGGGCGUGUGCUGCGAGGGUGGCCUAGGAGGCUACACGCAGAGGCCAGGCCCUGAGCCAGCGAGGAACCACCUACUCCUAGGGGGCGGCCCGGGAGCCUCGCUGCUUGUUCACCACGCUCAGCAGCUGCUGCACGUAGGAGCCCAGUCUGGUCCGGGCCCUGCAUCUCUGAAAGACGGCAGAGGGACGAGCGGGCAGCCUCGGUGCCUGUGGUGGAGAUGGGCUCACCAGCGAGGUCUCGCACAGCAGGCGGCUGCCGCGGCCCAGGCUCCCCAGCACCAUGUGGAAGUACGUGCUGCCGCUGCUCCAGCUGGAGAUCUUGGUGAAGGGGUAGGUGGUGAGCAGCUCCUGGGGGCAGAGGGCAGGUGGGCGAGGGGCAGAGCCUGCAGGCGACUAGGCUGGGCACAGCAGGGCAGGCAGGAAGUUCAGCAGCUGUGCCCCAGCCCUGCCCGGGGCCUCGGCCCUACCUUGGUCUUGGGGUGGAUGAGCAGCACACCAUGUCGGUUGAUGGCCACCACGACGAUAUCUGGGUAGGACGGCUCUGAGGCUUGCUGGCCGGAGGGGUGCAGUGGUCACAGCCCGGUCCGGACCAGGUGGCACCUCCCGGGUGGCCCCUCCUCCUGCCCACCUGAGACACAUGCAGCACCCCCGGGGUGCGCCUGGGGCCAGGCUUACCUUCACCUCGAAGAAGGCGGACCCGAAGGUGGGCCAGCGGCAGAUCCACUUGAGGAAGGCCACCUUGGCCUCCUGUACCGUCUUGUCCUGGUGCUUAUCAAACUCUAGAAGGAGGCUCUGGGGAAGGAGGAGUCGUGAGGGCCCGGUUGGCUGGGCGCCCGGGGCCCCGCCUCCCCACCAGUCAGUCUGAGCAAGGGGCAGUGUCGUGCAUGCUGUUCGGAGAGGGGUGAAGGACCCAGCCCACCUCCCACACCUACAGUGUGCCCCUCGGGCCUGGGAGCGCCUGGCACCCAGGCAGGGUACUGGAAGGGGCAGUGGCCUGAGGGCACCCUCCCCGGUCCAACAGACCUUUCUCCACUCCUCUGAGGACAGCAGGCGUGUGAGGUUCUCAGGCACCAGAUCCCUCAAGAUCUUGGGGACACUCGCCAGCUGGGAUCGGUCAUUGUCAAACUGGGCCUUGUAGAUGAGGCCAGCCAGGUGGAUGGCAUCUUCCCGGGAACACUUGUGGAACCCACGCAGGUACUUGGGCAGCUCCUGAGCAACGGACGUGCUAAGCCACAGGCUGCCAGCCCACCCUCAGCUUCAUGCGCAGGUGACAGGGCCUGGGUUGUCAGCCCCUGCAAUCUGGGAGACUGAGCAGGCCAAAGGCUGAGAUCCUUGCGAGUGAGGACAGGGCUCCCUGGCAUCGUGCCUUGAGGUCAUACCUACCCCAUGUGCAGGUGUUUGGCUUCAGGGUAAGGCCAGUUCUCCACAGGCAGUCACACACCAGCUGCCAGCAGGGGCGCUGUCCCAGAUGCUGCUGUGCACCUCUCCUGGUGCCAGAGCCCUCAGGACUGGGCCUGCCUUCCUCAGGGGACCCGUGCUGGUCCCACCCUGACCACCGCCUCUCCCCAGGCUCAGGGGUGGUAUGGGGUGGGAGUGGCCUGCGGUACCUGGUGGUAAUGCAGUAUGGUGUCUGCGUUCAGGUCCUUUCCUGGGACCACGCUGAGCCACAGUUUCCGCAUGAAGUACACCUGGUAGGGGAGCGCCACCGGCGUCCCUGGGGGCGGGGCGGCAGUGGGCACCUUGCCUGUCCUACAGGGCUCACAUCCGCUGCCGCCCCGCUCCCUGUGAGCUGUGAGCUCUACUGUUGCCUCCUCCCUUGGCCUCCCUGUCCCCGAUCACUUCCUUAUCCUUCAAGACCAGAGUGCAGACCACCUCCUCUUGGGCAUCCGCACCCUCAUGAGGAUGGGCCCAGAGUCCUCUAUCUCCCUGGGCUGCAGCCAGCUGCGUGCUCAGGGAGAUCCAUGGGCUGAGUGAGUGAAGGGGUGGGGCCGUGAAGGAGGAGUAGGAGUCCAACAGCCCCCCAGCCCUCCUACUCCACACAGACCCCUCCCCCCGCACCUUCUUUCUGAGGCUUGUUCCUCCUCACCCAGUCGGACACCUGCCUCAAGGAGUCAAAGAAGAAGUCUCCUUCCUUCUGGCUGAUCACCUGAGGUGGGAAGGGACGGAGGCAGGCAGGUGGGGUGGCUUCCGGGGGCAACCCUUUGGGCUUGGGUCCAGAAGUCACGUACACUGGCCCAGAGGACAGGGUGCAGGGCGCUCAGUGGAGGUCAGCAUGGGACUGCUGGUGGCCGUGGUAAGGGGUCAGGGGUCGGCUGUGAGACCCCACCCUCUGCGCCUGGAUGUUUGUGCACUGAGCAGUCUGGGCCUGCCCAGCGGUCCCCCUGGUGUCGGGAGACCACUCUACGUGAGGCCCUCGCCCGGCGUCCCUGCAGCCCCUGGCCUGCCCGCUGCGCACCUUAUCUGCGAUCUUGAUGAAGAGGCUGCAGCCUUCCCAGGAGGCCAGCUGCAGCCUGGUGGCGAUGGUCUCGCACACUUCUCGCACCCGGCUGUUGGUGCCCACCUCCAGCAUCUGGGCGGAGAGCAGCGGUGUGAAGACAGCACAGCUGCCCGCACUGGCCCCAGGACGGCCCCCCCGGAGCACCUGUGGCCUUCCUGUCCUGCAGGGCCAUGGCGAACACGGACCUCUCCUUCAGGCCCUCCAGAAACAGAGCCACCAGUUCAGCGACCGCCACGCUGCCGGAGGUGGUGAACUCAUACUCUUCUGCAUGCAGAGUGGAAAGCAGCAGUCUCUGGCCACCCCAGGCCUCCCUGUGGGGAGGGAGGGUGUGGUGUGAUGUGUGGCCAGCCUGCCUCCCCUGUUUUAGCUCCUCGACAGCCCAGAAGGGCAGCCCUCCAGUGUCACAGCCAAGGGUAGCUUCUCUGGAAUACUGGCAGGGCCACAGUGGGUGGCGAGCAGGUGACCACCAGGGCUCAGGGCCCAAGAGGGUAGGGUUAGCUCUGGGCCGGGCACUGCAAAGGAUGCUGGUGCUGAGGGGAGGAGCCGGCUUGCUGCGGCUUCCGGCUCACUCGGAGCAGCUUCCGGCUCACUCGGAGCCCUGGAGAGUGACCUUGCCUCCGAGCCUUCCUUUCCUCAUCUGCAGAAGGGACACAGGAGGACUUCAUGGUAACCAGGAAUUGUCCCGCAUGGUCAGCCCCAGGGAAUGGUGGCCGCUGUGCCACAAUCUGCCCACCAGUGGUAACAGUUACAACAGUCACACCACACCGGGGUGGGCUUUAACCUAGCAGCAUUCUAGUAGCACAUGGUGGGACUGAGUUCAAGGAGCCAGGAGAGCCUGGUGCUGGCGUUUGGUCGGCUAUCUUCUCACUCUUCUUGGAGAUGAGCUAUCUGUCCUUCGUAUCUUACCCAUGAGCAGGGAAGGGUCCCCUAAGUGACUGCACUUGGGGAAGUGGUGGCUCCAUCACUUUCCCAAUAUGGCUGGGUCUUCUGGAUGCUAUGGUUUGGGUCUGGAUGUCCCCAACCCUGCCCCAAAGCCUCGUGUGGUCAUAGGGUGAGGCUUUUCAGAGGUGGCUGAAUGUAGAGUGUGUGAUUACUAAAUCAGUCCACUGAUUGAUUUGACACCAUCCUCAUCCCGGUAGCCUAGAGUAAAAAAGGAGCAGAAAGAAGCUGCUGAGGUUCCUUGCUUGCUUGCUUUUGCUGUCUUCUGUGAUGCCACCCUGCCUUGGAGCCCGCUGAUUAUGGACUUGUGAGUGUCGGGUGUUUUGUCUCAGCAAUGAGAAAAGUAACUGGACAGAAGAGAAGCAAACAAGAAGCGGGACUACAGAUUGCAUACUCCACGGGCAGUGUGGCCUGCUACGAGGUGGGGUGGUACAGCACCCCAAGUCCGGUGGCCGCUGUGCACGUUGAUCCCUGUCUCCACACUCCCACCGGCUUCUGGGGACAACGCCACUCCUGUCUCCCCGGUCUCAGUUUGUGAGGAGACUGAGAAGAGGGAAGAGGCCCUCACCUGUUGGUGACCAGACUUGUGACCUCAGGGAAAGAGAGUUCCAGCAGCAUCCUCCCCCUCUGGUCCAGGAAGUGUAGCCCCUUCCAGUUGACAGCCAAGAUCAGCUGUGUCUUGGGGAGGCGGGGCCCUGGCCCAAGGAGACCGGGAGUGAGGGCUGCACCUGUCCCCGGGGGUGCCCAUACUUGCCAACCUCAUCAGAGCCAUUACCAGAGAGCGUGGUGACUUCAAAGAGCCGAGAGAAGAGCAGGGGCCACUGCAGACGGGCGGCAUCCACUACCUGCUGCCGCACAGCCAGCGCCGAUGCUCCUGUCUGGGUGUACGAGGCCUGCAGGAGGAUCCUGGGCAUCAGUGUCAUCGCCCGGACUCCUAUCGCUGUCCCUUGCUCAGUGUGUAGGGUGAUUAUUUGAUAGAUCAUUCUGUGAAGCUUCCACCUACUACAAGGCCAGUGCCUGGCAAAGGCUGCUCUGGGGGUGUCUCAGGGUUGGCUCAGGCCUCCUGGGUCCCAGGAGAGUCCCCUGCAGGAGGCACCUGCGGAGGGUAGCAGGCCAUCCCUCAUUAGCAGCAGGGUGUACAGGCUUGUGCAUGGCUGCUGCUGGUGGUCCCUGAGUCCGUGUACCUUCGGGUCCCAGCCUGGGCCUCGGAGUGGUUUGGAUCUUAGGUGGUGCACCCGGGAUGUGGUGGCAGCCUAGGAGGUGGGGCCCGGCUGAAGGAAGCUGGGUCACUGGGCUGCGUCCUUGAGGAGAUACUGGGACCUGCCCCCAGCUUUGCUUCCUGGCUGUUGUGAGGAGGCGUCUGCUGCACCAUAUGCUCUCUGCCGUGAUGUUUUGGCCCCAAAAACAGAGCCAACUGACCAUGAACCGGACACUCUGAAACAUGAGCCAAAAGGAACCUUUGCUCCUUUUAAGUCUCCGGUAUUUUGGCACAGAGGUGGAAAGCUGACCAGCACGGCCUGCUGUUGCCAGUGCCUGCCUGUGCUCCGGCUCCACGAGUAAGGCCAUCUUACUGCACAACUCCGAGUCCUGGGACCUCUCUCAUUUUCUUCUCUGGGGUUCUUGGAUGCAGUUGGAGGCUCCUUGUGGGCCUCCCUUUGCCCCUUUCCCUCUAGCUAUCUCCUUCUGGCUUGCCUCCCUCCUCUCCUGACCCUACUCCCCCAGCUCCGUGUGUGGUAUCCGCACCAAGCUUCCCUUUCCUUGUUUGUUGGGUCAGAUGUUAUUUCCCUUGUUUCUACUUUUAAAAGUGGCUUUGGGGGAUGUAUGUGGAUGCAUCUUAUCUGAAGGGGGCCUUGGCCAGACGUACUGUGCACCAGACAUGUAGGGUGUCCCUACACUGAUGUGUCCUGAGAGGGGACACGGAGAGGCCUGGGUACAGAAGGGAGCCCACUGAGGCAGGACUGUCCUGAGGCCGUGGUAUGGCAGCAUUUGGUGGCAGAGAUGCCAGGGCCUUGCAGUGCUGCAGUGCAGACUGUCAUGGGGUCCACUGGUGAUGCCAGCUUAGAAAGAGGAGGGCUGGUGACAGGGCCUGUUCUUGGGGACUGAACUGAGCAAGACUAUAAACUUCAUGGUCAGGGCCGCCCUAACUGUCAGGUUUAAGCUUUCCUCGUGUGCAGGGGGUGAGGAUUCCAUCCCUAGGGCCCCACCACCCUGCAGGUGGGCUCGAGGCUGACCUUGGCUUGGGCAGCCGUGACGAGGCCAGCCCACUUCUCUGGGGCCUUGGUCCUGUACAGCUUGGGGGGGAUGCAGCCAGGCAGCAGGUCCUGGACAGCCUUGGUCCCCGAUGAAGCACCCAGCUGCACAUGGCAGUGCCGGGCUAGCAGUUCCACCAGCUCUUCCUCCUGCACAGUGUGGGGUGCGCAGGAGAGGUGAGGCAAGUGAGAGCCCCUGUCCAGCUCCUGCCUCAUAGCCAGCUCCCGACCCCUGCGGUGCAGCUGUCCAGACACUCAAGAGGACUGGGCAGCAGAAGCAGCCAUCCGGUCUGCCACCUCCUCCAGGCAGGACCAGUGCCACAGGCCCAACUGGGCCCCCAUGCUUCUGUGGCACCACUGCUCCUGUGGCCUCUGCCAAGAACAAGCCACCUCCUCUCUGAAUUGCUGCCCUGCACGGGGUGCAGUCGGACCGGGCUUUAUGCUGCCUCGGCUCCAGGCCUGCUUCACACAGGAGACCACUGGCCACUCCUGCAGGCCUGGCCCCGUUGCUCCCUGCCCAUACCCCUUCCAGACCGGCUUCCGGGAUCGCUGCGGCCGCCUGAGCUCCCAGGCAGCACCCUCCAGUCUUGGUUCGGGAGGGUUUGCACUGCUGCCCACACCCUGUCCGUUGGCCUCAGUUCUCUCAACUACGUGGCACUCUGUACACCGGUAUGCGGGCCCGAGGCUUGGCGGGUGACAAGACUUCCCAGAGUCACACUGCCAGGGAGACGUAAAUGUGACUUGAGCUUGGGCACCUGGGCUCCAUGGCUGCCUUCCUGACCCCCAGCCCCUGCUACUCCACAGACAGCUGCUGAGGGAGGCCACGCUGGCCUGGGACUGACACGGAGGUCGGGCGGCCUCCCCUGCCUGCCGUGGCUGCUACUAAAGCCUCAGAUGCUCAGGCAAAGCUUUGGUCCAAGGGAGGAAGACAAGGAAGCCAGGCCCAGGAGGCCACAGGCCAGGCUGGCCCCUGAAUGUGGCUCCUCCUCAGGCUCCUCACCUUCUCGAAGCUGUACUCGCCGGACCAGACUCCGUGGAGGACUUGACGGUAAAUGAGCUUGGUGCUGAUGGGGUCCUCUCUGGAGUCAUGCCAGGGGGUGAAGAACUCCUUCCGGAAGUAGAUGCGCCAGGGGGACUGGCUCUGGCUCUCACCCCUCUCCUGGGCCAGCUGUUCACACCGGGCCACAGCAUCCAUCACAUGGUCUCGCCCGCUGCCCAAGGACCAGAACUGAGGACAGAACCAGGGGUCCAGGGGUGAGCAGCUGCUGUGUGCCACAGCCCCAGGGACCGCCACUCUCAGCACAGGAUGUGGACACGGGCUGGGAGGGGCACAGCCUGCCCAGUUCCAGACGCAUCUCCCUGCGGGCCCUCCCAGGAAGGCAGAGAGCAGGGCCGGCUGUGUCACCUGGGCCAUGGUGCCUUGGUACCUGGUCAGUACCUUGUCAUACACAGCAACCUGGAGGGAGAAGCCCAGGUGGUCGCUGAGGUCCUGCUGCUGGGCGAUGUGCAGGCAGACUUCCCGAGACGUAGAGGCCGAGUCCAUUGUGACAGUCAGGCUCUGUCCGGUCACCAGGGUCACUUGGACGGGGAUGUGCUUCUUGGACUUGACCGCCUAGGAGCAGAGGAAGACUCAGAACCCCCGGCUGGAGGCUCUGGCUGACCACCUCGGAGUCAGAAAGCCUGGGACUGGAGGCCUGCCACCCUCCUUACCCCACCUGCCCACCUUCCGGGGCCCCAGGGUGGCUGUGGCUUAGUGUGGAAUUAACAAAGUUCAGGCCUGCAGCUGGCCAGGGGCAAAAACAAUGCUGCCAUGCACAUCGAGGAUUUCAGGCUUCUGCAGGUUUUCCUCGCCAACCCUGGGGCCUGUACUACAGGCCACGAUGGUCCUAUUUUCAUUAGAAAACUCAGCUUGUUGAGGUCAAGUGACUCAGACUCUCACAAGGCAAUUCCUUGGGACAUUUUUGGCUCCUGGGCACUGUGUACAGCACUGUGUGAAUAUUCAGAGCUGCUACAAGUCACCGCAAUUCUGGGACUCAUAGGAGGGAGCCUCUACAGAUCUGGCCAGAGGGGUGGGAGCCAGACGGGGGUUCUUUGGAGGUGACCUUUGGAUCCCAGCACAGGGCACCACAGGGCCACACGCACCUUUCAGGCUUGGGUUGGGCCCAAAGAUGGGGGUGGAGCCAGCGCAGGGUGCCCUCCAACAUGGCUGCUCAAGAGUCACCUUUCCUGAGGACACUUCUGGGACGGGCAGGUGUCCCAGCUGCCACAGCAGGACAAGGUAGCACUGGUUCCCAGCAGCAACAUGCUGGGGGCCAGCCUCGGUGGGGCCACUGCCUGCCUGACAAGCCGAGUGCCCCUGGAGAGGUAACCUUGAAGCCAUUAGUUUAAUUCAUAUCAUCCUGCUGGUAGACAUAUCAGAUUCAUUUCCCCCUCAUCCAGGAGGGCAGAAAGGAUGUUGGAUUUAGAUAUGGAGAGGCCAAGUCCUGGGCUUUGGGGGCUCUUGGCCCAGAAGAUGCCUUGAAGGAGACAGAAUGCUGAGGACAGGUCACCCCACCAGCUAUGCGACAGGGGCAGGGGGCUGUGCCACCCCCACUGCCCACCACCAGCCCUGCCAGUCCCUACCUGCAGCUCCAGCCAGGUGGGGGGCUCCAUGCGCGCCCCAUUGGCACAGGUACGCCGCAGGCGCUCUGCACAGAAGGGUCCAUAGCCGGCUGGUCCUUGGCGAAUAAAGUUCAGCAGGUACUGGGGAGCAAAGAAAGAAGGGGAGAUACUCAGAUUGGAGGCUGAAUUCUGCUUUCUGCCCAGACAGAUUUUAAACAGGUCACUCUCAGUUUGGGAAGGCACAUGGGCUGGGCACCCUCCAUUUACAAUGAGAUGGAAUAUAGACCACUGCUUUUUUUGGUAGGAGAUCACAUCAGGUAUUCAGCGUGCAUUCACUAUGAACUCACUAUGUAGCCCAGGCUGGUUUCAAACCUGUGAUGAUCCUUCUUCCUCAGCAUCCUGAGUGCGGGGGUUAGAGCAGAGUGCCACCGCGCCCAGCUACAAAUUGGUACAUUUCUGAGGCAUGACUGGGCAUUGUUUUAAAUAGUGCAUAGUUUUAAGAAUGCACGCUGUCUGAUCCCAUUAUUCAAACCUAUCCUACGAGCAAUGAUUUGUACUUUUUUACUGCAGUGGUGGGUAUCUAUGGUGAUGAGAAGGUGGACCUUAAAUAUCCAUUAAGUUUAUACCUUCUAGGGUUGCUUAGACAUCAAAGACGCACUGGGGAAGUUCAUACCAGGAGGACAAUCAUGGAGAAAAAUGCAGGAGGGCCAAUGUCCAAAAUGUAUUGGACAAAAGGUGCUGAAAAUCGUUUUGCCUCCCAGAGGCAAGGGAGAGAGGCUGGGAGGGUUUACAGGUAUCAGGAGUGGCCCGAGUGCCCAGGACAGGUGGCCAGGUGGCCAUGUUCCUGCUGUCGCCACAGGGACUCAUGAGCAGUUGAGUCUUUCCUGUAUGACCACAGGUGUAACCCCAACAAGAAGGCAGAGGAAAAUAUUAAUAUGCAUCAUCUCUGGCUGUGGGCAUGACUUUUACUUCCUUUUUAGACAUCCUACAUUCCCACAUACUACUUUUCUCAUCAAAACUAAAAAGCAUCAGGGGCUGGGGACUUAGCUUACUGGUUCCUCCACCUGCCUUGAACGCACAAGGUCCUGA